rnacentral:rRNA from 1 species
AGGUCAUUGCUAUUGGAGUCCGAUUUAGCCAUGCUAGUUGCACGAGUUCAGACUCGUAGCAGAUAGCUCAGUAACACGUGGCCAAACUACCCUAUGGAUCCGAAUAACCUCGGGAAACUGAGGCUAAUGCGGAAUACCGCUCGCUGCCUGGAAGUGGCGCGAGCGCGAAACGUUCAGGCGCCAUAGGAUGUGGCUGCGGCCGAUUAGGUAGACGGUGGGGUAACGGCCCACCGUGCCGAUAAUCGGUACGGGUUGUGAGAGCAAGAGCCCGGAGACGGUAUCUGAGACAAGAUACCGGGCCCUACGGGGCGCAGCAGGCGCGAAACCUUUACACUGCACGCGAGUGCGAUAAGGGGACUCCGAGUGCGAGGGCAUAUAGUCCUCGCUUUUCACCACCGUAAGGUGGUGGUGGAAUAAGUGCUGGGCAAGACCGGUGCCAGCCGCCGCGGUAAUACCGGCAGCACGAGUGAUGACCGCUAUUAUUGGGCCUAAAGCGUCCGUAGCUGGCCGCACAAGUCUAUCGGGAAAUCUGCGUGCUUAACGCGCAGGCGUCCGGUGGAAACUGUGUGGCUUGGGACCGGAAGAUCCAGAGGGUACGUCUGGGGUAGGAGUGAAAUCCUGUAAUCCUGGACGGACCGCCGGUGGCGAAAGCGCUCUGGAAGGACGGAUCCGACGGUGAGGGACGAAAGCUCGGGUCACGAACCGGAUUAGAUACCCGGGUAGUCCGAGCUGUAAACGAUGUCUGCUAGGUGUGACACUGGCUACGAGCCAGUGUUGUGCCGUAGGGAAGCCGUGAAGCAGACCGCCUGGGAAGUACGUCCGCAAGGAUGAAACUUAAAGGAAUUGGCGGGGGAGCACUACAACCGGAGGAGCCUGCGGUUU